ACAACUCAAUCAAUAUUACUAUAAAGAGAUCCCUAAGAAAAACAACCCAACCAAAUAAGAGACAUUUAAUAAUAUUUCUAAUUUAAAAAAUGUAUUUUUCUAUUCCAAAAAAAUCUUAUUUAUUAUGUCAAAAGAGGAUUAACAUUAUAAAUUAUAAAGUUAUAAAACUAUACAAUAUUGCUUACUUGCCAAGAGAAAAAAAAUGGUUGUAAUCGUCAAAUUUGUUUAUUUUUUCAUCAUCUUUCUUUCUAUAAUUCUUGUUGCAAUGAAUAUUGAAAGUUAUAUUGAUUGUAUUCAUGAUUUUGAUUGUCCAAAGGAUAUGUGUCCACAUCCUUUAAAACCGAAGUGUGUUUUGGUGACAAAUCUUCCUGUUUCUGGAAGUGGAAAAUGUGCAUGUAGUUGAAAGAUGAGCACAUAAUCUCUUCCUACAAAUUUCACUUGUGAUGUUGUGAUUUUCUUUUAAUAUAACAUUUGUGAUUGAUUUUCUGGUUUUCAUAAAACGAAGUUAAAAUAUUUGCAAAUUCAAAUGUAUUGAUUAUAAUAACAUUGAAAUAGACGCCAUAAUUUAUCA